UUCAAAUCUGAUUUCAAAAUCAAAUACUAAAAUUACAUUUUCUAAUAAAAAGCUUCAGUUACUUUUUGUUGUUCGAGUAUAUCUAAUGGUUCAUCAAAAAAAUGUACUCAAACUCAAAGUAUGGUUGUAUUUAAACCUUUCAACCUGGGUUAAUCAUUAACAUUUAUUACUGAUUAUCAUUGUAUAUCAGUUAAACACUUCCAAGUUUAACAAAUAUCCUCUUUUGGCUUUUACUUUGACAUGGAAAACCCAUGCAUUCAAUACCUAUCACAGGUACUAUGGCAGUUGUGUUAAUAACUUAAACUGUAUUGUAUACUAAUAACUUUUUAUUAAAAUAGGUUGGAAACAUGUGAAGGAGAGACCUCUCAGGACCAUAUAGGCUUUAAGUAGAUUACUGUAAGUGAUGGAGAGCAAGUUUGGAAGUAAAUGCCAAAGCACAAAGCUCCAUUGGUCUAGAGCUCAUAUUGAAAAUACAACCAAGGCUGCCGUAGGAAUGGUCAUCACCAGAUGGCUUGUACAAAGCAAACUGAGACACACAAGAUAAGAAACUUUAGUAUACCAUAUAUUUUAAUAGUAUUUUGGCAAAUUAUAUAUCAUAUCAUAAUCA